GCCUGUUUGGCUCAGUCGGUAGAGCGUGUGACUCUCAAUCUCAGGGUGUGAGUUUAAGCCCCAUGUUGGGUA
rnacentral:tRNA from 1 species